GAUGAAGAACGCAGCGAAAUGCGAUAAGUAGUGUGAAUUGCAGAAUUCAGUGAAUCAUCGAAUCUUUGAACGCACAUUGCGCCCUCUGGUAUUCCGGAGGGCAUGCCUGUUCGAGCGUCAUUAAAACUACUCAAGCUAAGGUUUUACCUUCUGCUUGGUCUUGGGUUUGAGGAUUCAAAAUCCUCUCUCCGAAAUCCAGUGGCGAAUUGUUUGAGCUGUAGACGUAGUAAAACAUUCUACCCGUUGCAAGCGAGAAUAAUAUUCAGCCAUAACCCCCAUACUUUUCUAGUUUGACCUCGGAUCAGGUAGGGAUACCCGCUGAACUUAAGCAUAUCAAUAAGCGGAGGA
rnacentral:misc_RNA from 1 species